rnacentral:tRNA from 1 species
GCGGCAGUAGUUUAUCGGCAGAACGCAGGGUUGUGGUCCCUGUAGAGAGGGUUCGACUCCCUCCUGCCGCG